rnacentral:rRNA from 1 species
AUUGAACGCUGGCGGCAGGCCUAACACAUGCAAGUCGAACGAGUGGCGGACGGGUGAGUAAUGUCUGGGCAACUGCCUGAUGGAGGGGGAUAACUACUGGAAACCGUAGCUACUACCGCCAACCAUCCGAUGUGCUCAGACUGGAUUAGCUUGUUGGUGGGGUAACGGCUCACCAAGGCGACCAUCCCUAGCUGGUCUGAGAGGCUGACGAGCCACACUGGAACUGAGACACGGUCUAGACUCCUACGGGAGGCAGCAGUGGGGAAUAUUGCGCAAUGGGCGCAAGCCUGAUGCAGCCAUGCCGCGUGUAUGAAGAAGGCCUUCGGGUUGUAAAGUACUUUCAGCGGGGAGGCGUUACCCGCAGAAGAAGCACCGGCUAACUCCGUGCCAGCAGCCGCGGUAAUUC